rnacentral:rRNA from 1 species
GAUGAACGCUGGCGGCGUGCCUAAUACAUGCAAGUCGAGCGAACAGAUGAGGAGCUUGCUCCUCUGACGUUAGCGGCGGACGGGUGAGUAACACGUGGAUAACCUACCUAUAAGACUGGGAUAACUUCGGGAAACCGGAGCUAAUACCGGAUAAUAUAUUGAACCGCAUGGUUCAAUAGUGAAAGACGGUUUUGCUGUCACUUAUAGAUGGAUCCGCGCCGCAUUAGCUAGUUGGUAAGGUAACGGCUUACCAAGGCAACGAUGCGUAGCCGACCUGAGAGGGGGGUUGGCCCACACGGAACCUGGAACACGUCCAGGCCCCUAAGGGGGGGAGGAGUAGGGAAUUCUUCCGCAUGGGGGAAAACCUUGCGGGGGCACCGCGGGUGAGUUAAUAAGGGUCUCCGGACGGAAAACCCUUUUUAUUGGGAAAAACCAAUUGUGAAGUUACUAUGCACGUCUUGACGGUACCUAAUCAGAAAGCCACGGCUAACUACGUG